GACGAGGGGUCCAAGCGUUGUUCGGAUUCAUUGGGCGUAAAGGGUGCGUAGGUGGCGCUGUAAGUCGGGUGUGAAAUUUCGGAGCUUAACUCCGAAACUGCAUUCGAUACUGCGGUGCUUGAGGACUGGAGAGGAGACUGGAAUUCAUGGUGUAGCAGUGAAAUGCGUAGAGAUCAUGAGGAAGACCAGUGGCGAAGGCGGGUCUCUGGACAGUUCCUGACACUGAGGCACGAAGGCCAGGGGAGCAAACGGG
rnacentral:rRNA from 1 species